AUUGAACGCUGGCGGCAGGCUUAACACAUGCAAGUCGAGCGGGGGGAGGUAGCUUGCUACCGGACCUAGCGGCGGACGGGUGAGUAAUGCUUAGGAAUCUGCCUAUUAGUGGGGGACAACAUCUCGAAAGGGAUGCUAAUACCGCAUUCGUCCUACGGGAGAAAGCAGGGGAGCUUCGGACCUUGCGCUAAUAGAUGAGCCUAAGUCGGAUUAGCUAGUUGGUGGGGUAAGGGCCUACCAAGGCGACGAUCUGUAGCGGGUCUGAGAGGAUGAUCCGCCACACUGGGACUGAGACACGGCCCAGACUCCUACGGGAGGCAGCAGUGGGGAAUAUUGGACAAUGGGGGGAACCCUGAUCCAGCCAUGCCGCGUGUGUGAAGAAGGCCUUAUGGUUGUAAAGCACUUUAAGCGAGGAGGAGGCUACUUUAGUUAAUACCUAGAGAUAGUGGACGUUACUCGCAGAAUAAGCACCGGCUAACUCUGUGCCAGCAGCAGCCGCGG
rnacentral:rRNA from 1 species